rnacentral:rRNA from 1 species
GUGUCAGCCGCCGCGCGGUAAUACGAAGGUCCCGAGCGUUAUUCGGAAUCACUGGGCGUAAAGAGUACGUAGGCGGUUUGGUAAGUCAGGUGUGAAAUCCCGGGGCUCAACCCCGGAACUGCAUCCGAUACUGCUAGACUGGAGUAAUGGAGAGGCAGGUGGAAUUCUCGGUGUAGCAGUGAAAUGCGUGGAUAUCGAGAGGAAGACCAAUGGCGAAGGCAGCCUGCUGGACAUUUACUGACGCUGAGGUACGAAGGCCAGGGUAGCGAAAGGGAUUAGAUACCCCUGUAGUCCUGGCAGUAAACGGUGCGCGCUUGGUGUGGGAGGACUCGACCCCUUCUGUGCCGGAGCUAACGCGUUAAGCGCGCCGCCUGGGGAGUACGGUCGCAAGACUAAAACUCAAAGAAAUUGACGGGGACCCGCACAAGCGGUGGAGUAUGUGGCUUAACUCGAUGCAACGCGAAGAACCUUACCUAGGCUUGACAUGUAUUGCUAAGCACGUGAAAGCGUGUGACUCUUCGGAGACCUUACACAGGUGCUGCAUGGCCGUCGUCAGCUCGUGUCGUGAGAUGUUUGGUUAAGUCCAGCAACGAGCGCAACCCCUGUGGAUAGUUGCCAGCACGUAAUGGUGGGGACUCUAUCCAGACUGCCCAGGUCAACUGGGAGGAAGGUGGGGAUGACGUCAGGUCAGUAUGGCCCUUACGCCUAGGGCUGCACACGUACUACAAUGCCCAGUACAAUGAGAACCGAUACCGUGAGGUGGAGGAAAUCUACAAAACUGGGCCCAGUUCGGAUUGGAGGCUGCAACUCGCCUCCAUGAAGUUGGAAUCGCUAGUAAUGGCACAUCAGCUACGGUGCCGUGAAUACGUUCCCGGGUCUUGUACACACCGCCCGUCA